GGUGAUAGUCCCGUAGUUGACGACGUGUGUUCAGUGAAAUCGAGUAGGGCGGGACACGUGAUAUCCUGUCUGAAUAUGGGGGGACCAUCCUCCAAGGCUAAAUACUACUGACUGACCGAUAGUGAACCAGUACCGUGAGGGAAAGGCGAAAAGAACCCCUGUGAGGGGAGUGAAAUAGAACCUGAAACCGUGUACGUACAAGCAGUAGGAGCAGGCUUUGUCCUGUGACUGCGUACCUUUUGUAUAAUGGGUCAGCGACUUAUAUUCAGUGGCAAGGUUAACCAUCUAGGGGAGCCGUAGGGAAACCGAGUCUUAACUGGGCGUUCAGUCUCUGGAUAUAGACCCGAAACCAGGUGAUCUAGCCAUGGGCAGGUUGAAGGUUGAGUAACAUCAACUGGAGGACCGAACCGACUAAUGUUGAAAAAUUAGCGGAUGACUUGUGGCUAGGGGUGAAAGGCCAAUCAAACCUGGAGAUAGCUGGUUCUCCCCGAAAG
rnacentral:rRNA from 1 species